UGUGUGUUAAUGCAUUAACAACAGUGUUUAUAAGGUUUUUUGCAAGCCCUGCCAUUAUCAGCUUCCUGCCAAUUCUUACGUUUGUGUAGACCCCUGUGGUCUCUGACUACCUCUCAAAACUUGGGCUAGUCCCUUGAAUUGCUGGCUGUGCUGAGUGCUGCAGGGAUUCAUGGCUGCCCACCCGACAAGUGCAACCUGGAUCUCUAUCCUUGUAAACAUCACAGGCGUUUUCCACCCCAGGAAUAUGUGAAUGCUGCUGUCAUCUUGAGUAGUUCAUGGAAAAUUAUCAGCAAUGAACUCCAAAAAGUUAGAGACCUCCUGAACAAAACACUUAAUGAUAUGGUGAUCUCCCAUCAGCACAGUGGAGAUGAUAGAGUAUCUAUGAUGAGUCAUCACGGUCUUCCAGGAGCAAAGAGAAACUAAGUGGAAUGAGAAAUUUGACCUUUAAGCUGCAAUGCUAAAGAAUCACUGAGAGUUCAUGUCGCAGAAUCCCUUCAGCAGCUGAAUGGAGAGGCUGCCAUUGGCUUUGCCAUAAAAUGGGCAAUUAAAAAUAUUUUCCCAAAAGCUACCUGUCAGAGAAACUGCAAGAUCAUCAUUGUUGCAUCUGCUGGAGAACCCAGUGAAAUCCAGUUGAAAGUGUGAAUUUUUUUCCAUAGUCAUGUUCCUGGUGUAUCUGUUCAUAUUUUGGUUUUGUGUUUGUUUUUAAUUAGUGAACAGAAACUGCUGACCCUGUAACGUGUUCAUAAAAAGAUCCCAGAGAAGGCUUCUCAUGGUGAGAGCCACAAAGAGGUGUGAAGGAUGUAUAAAUGGGAGACAGACUCUUUUCUUUAAUUGCUUAGCAGAGUCUUGAUAGAAUAGCUUCAGAGGAAAUAACAUACUGCAACUGACCCAACACCCUGGCUUUCCACUAUGGCCAGCAAAUGGAUGUUGAAAAGAAAUAAAUUUUUAAUUAAAAAAAAAAA